GACGAACGCUGGCGGCGUGCUUAACACAUGCAAGUCGAACGGAAAGGCCCUGCUUUUGUGGGGUGCUCGAGUGGCGAACGGGUGAGUAACACGUGAGUAACCUGCCCUUGACUUUGGGAUAACUUCAGGAAACUGGGGCUAAUACCGGAUAGGAGCUCCUGCUGCAUGGUGGGGGUUGGAAAGUUUCGGCGGUUGGGGAUGGACUCGCGGCUUAUCAGCUUGUUGGUGGGGUAGUGGCUUACCAAGGCUUUGACGGGUAGCCGGCCUGAGAGGGUGACCGGCGACAUUGGGACUGAGAUACGGCCCAGAAUCCUACGGGAGGCAGCAGUGGGGAAUAUUGAACAAUGGGCGGAAGCCUGAUGCAGCAACGCCGCGUGCGGGAUGACGGCCUUCGGGUUGUAAACCGCUUGCGCCUGUGACGAAGCGUGAGUGACGGUAAUGGGUAAAGAAGCACCGGCUAACUACGUG
rnacentral:rRNA from 1 species